GGAGGUCUACUGGAUGGGGCAGCACUGCAGCUGGGGGUGGAGGAACCUGAAGGAGCAGACUGGGGGGGCCCACGAGGGGCCAUGGGACACCCAGGGAGGGUGGGGAGCUGCUUAGAAGAGGUUGGAGCCCAGGGAGGGCCUGGGUGGGACUGUCACGGGGCGAGUGGAGAGAUGGGCUGUGGGCCGAGACCCAAGGCUAUAAACUGGGAGGGGCCGUGAGCCCGCCCACGGGGAGCUGCAAUCCACAGCCGCCUCUGUGGAGCCCCAUGUGUCUCAGCCCUUCCUCCCCUACGGGCCUCUCCAUUUGCCACCUCACACGUCUGCAAGCCCCUCCUGCUUUAAUUACCAGCAUCUAGGGCGGUCGGCACACCAGGCAGCUUCGCACUAAUUAAAGUGGGGGCUUUACAGGAUGGCGCCGUCCCCCCAGGCCCAGGAGGCCUCACAGCGCCAGUGACCCACAGGCCAGACCAUUCCCGAGUUAAACAGGCAGAGACCAGGCCCGGAGCCUGCCGACGACACGGACCCCGAAGGUCCCCAGGGCCCCUCCCUGAGCCUGCAGGCGCAUCCCUGCCCCACCAAAGCUCAAACCCACCUCUCCUGGAAAUCCCACCGCAUGUGCUCUCCCAGGAGCUGCAGAGCUGAGGGGACAGGCCUGGGUCACACCCCACCUUGUUUCCGGCUCCUAGGGCGCAGUCCAAGGCAUGGU
rnacentral:lncRNA from 1 species